rnacentral:lncRNA from 1 species
UCCGCCGCCGCAUUCGUCGGCUUCCUCCACGGCGGCGCGCACGCCCGGAGGGUGGUGCGGCCGGCGACGGCGGCUCCCGAGGAGGCCAUCGAGGCACCGUUGAAGAGGAAGGAGACGGCCUCGCCGCCACCGCCGCUGGUGAGGACGCGGAUGGACACGCUCCCGGCGGUGCCCAUCCGCACGAGCCGCCUCUCCUGCUCCAUCCUGCGCAGCACCUGCUCCGGGUUGUUGAGAGCUUUUUCUUUUCAGUGCAUCAUCAUUGCAUUGCUUUGUUUCGUUUUGGAUAGAUUGGUGACAAACAAACCUCCUGGGAUGAGGUUUACAGCGAGAAGAAACAUGCGUGGGCCUGACGGCCUGCCGAUCACCUUCACAAUUCCAACAGCUUUGAUGCCAUUUCGGUGUCAGGUUCAGAUGGGAGCUCAGGGAGACCAGCUCCACCGUGUCGGGCAGCCGCCUCUCCUCCACCUGCUUCAGCACGCAGACCAGCUCCACCGCGUCGGGCAGAGUGAGGGUGGCGAGGCUGCAGGGCGGAGGAAGGUGGCGGGGCCCGGCGGACGGCAUCGGCGAUGAGAUAGGGAUU